CCUACGGGAGGCAGCAGUGAGGAAUAUUGGUCAAUGGCCGGAAGGCUGAACCAGCCAAGCCGCGUGAAGGACGAAGGUGCCAAGCAUUGUAAACUUCUUUUGUCAAGGGACAAAAUCAGGCUCGAGAGCCUGACCGAGGGUACUUGCAGAAAAAGCAUCGGCUAACUCCGUGCCAGCCGCCGCGGUAAUACGGAGGAUUCGAGCGUUAUCCGGAUUUAUUGGGUUUAACGGGUGCGUAGGCGGGCUGUUCAGGCAGCGGUAAAAGCCCGGGGGUCAACCCCGGCGAGCCGUUGAAACUGGCUGUCUUGAGAUGUCGAGAGGUAUGCGGAAUGCGCAGUGUAGCGGUGAAAUGCGUAGAUAUUGCGCAGAACUCCGAUUGCGAAGGCAGCAUACCGGCGGCGAUCUGACGCUGAGGCACGAAAGCGUGGGUAUCGAACAGGAUUAGAUACCCGGGUAGUC
rnacentral:rRNA from 1 species